GAUGAACGCUGGCGGCGUGCCUAAUACAUGCAAGUCGAGCGAACAGACGAGGAGCUUGCUCCUCUGACGUUAGCGGCGGACGGGUGAGUAACACGUGGAUAACCUACCUAUAAGACUGGGAUAACUUCGGGAAACCGGAGCUAAUACCGGAUAAUAUAUUGAACCGCAUGGUUCAAUAGUGAAAGACGGUUUUGCUGUCACUUAUAGAUGGAUCCGCGCCGCAUUAGCUAGUUGGUAAGGUAACGGCUUACCAAGGCGACGAUGCGUAGCCGACCUGAGAGGGUGAUCGGCCACACUGAAACUGAGACACGGUCCAGACUCCUACGGGAGGCAGCAGUAGGGAAUCUUCCGCAAUGGGCGAAAGCCUGACGGAGCAACGCCGCGUGAGUGAUGAAGGUCUUCGGAUCGUAAAACUCUGUUAUUAGGGAAGAACAAAUGUGUAAGUAACUAUGCACGUCUUGACGGUACCUAAUCAGAAAGCCACGGCUAACUACGUG
rnacentral:rRNA from 1 species